UACAGAGACGGCAAGCGUUGCUCGGAUUCAUUGGGCGUAAAGGGUCCGUAGGCGGUUGGGUAAGUCGGAUGUGAAAUCUCGCAGCUUAACUGCGAUAGGUCAUUCGAAACUGCCUGGCUUGAGGAGUGGAGAGGAGACUGGAAUUGUCGGUGUAGCGGUGAAAUGCGUAGAGAUCGACAAGAACACCGGUGGCGAAAGCGGGUCUCUGGACACUUCCUGACGCUCAGGGACGAAAGCCAGGGGAGCAAACGGG
rnacentral:rRNA from 1 species